UACGGGGGGGGCAAGCGUUGUUCGGAAUUACUGGGCGUAAAGGGUUCGUAGGUGGCUUGUUAAGUCAGACGUGAAAUCCCUCAGCUUAACUGGGGAACUGCGUCUGAGACUGAUGAGCUCGAGUGCAGGAGAGGAACGCGGAAUUCCAGGUGUAGCGGUGAAAUGCGUAGAUAUCUGGAGGAACACCGGUGGCGAAGGCGGCGUUCUGGACUGCAACUGACACUGAGGAACGAAAGCCAGGGGAGCAAACGGG
rnacentral:rRNA from 1 species